rnacentral:lncRNA from 1 species
AUAUAAGAUCUUUUUUGGUUUGUGAUAAUAAAGAAUCUAGCUGCACAAUUCCUACUGUGGCUGGACGCCCUUGCUUUCUUACAAAGCUUUUAAUAAUGUGACCGCAUUCCUUAUUUGAUAUGUGCAUUGGAGUUUCUUUGAACAAUUAUUAACCUUGUGGCUUGGUUUUUCACAAUAUAAGCAUAGGCCAAAUUUCCUUCAAUAUUUUUUUUCUUACUCAAAAAGAAAUUUGAAGAAAACAACAUCAAUCUGCAUAUCUUCUGCUUCCAAAUGCUCAUUAAAAUUAGAUAGUGAAGAAGUUGCAAAAUAAUUGGUAUAUACAUGUGGCAUAAUUGAAGAACAUUUAUCUUGUCGUCAUUGAAAUAAAUAAUUAUUGUACUUUAUAACUUGACUAAUGGCUUCAUUUAAUGUUUGAGGAUUUGGCAUAAAUAACAAUAAAUCCUUGACAUCGUCUUUUAAUUCCUAAUGAAAUAGACUCAUCAACGCAUCUUCUCUCUAAUUUAU